rnacentral:rRNA from 1 species
GACAGAGGGUGCAAACGUUGUUCGGAAUUACUGGGCGUAAAGCGCGUGUAGGCGGCUAUGUAAGUCGGGCGUGAAAUCCCACGGCUCAACCGUGGAAGUGCACCCGAAACUGCGUAGCUAGAGUCCUGGAGAGGAAGGUGGAAUGCUUGGUGUAGAGGUGAAAUUCGUAGAUAUCAGGAGGAACACCUGUGGCGAAGGCGUCCAUCUGGCCCGUUACUGACGCUGAGGCGCGAAAGCUAGGGGAGCAAACGGG